CACCUGCCAAGGCCCUGCCAUGGCACGGCUGCAGCCCUCCCAGCUCCCUCAUCACAUUCCAUCAUAUUUCUCCAAACAGGAUUUCUUGGCUUCGUGUCAGAUUUAACCAAUAUGUUAGGUUAAAACACAUGCAGUCCUCUGCUUAGAGCCAAUGGACACCUCAGCCAUAACUGCGAACAAUGCCACGACAUUGCUUUCAGCUGAAAUCAAUGAGUGCCUGGCAUUUUCAGCCUUCCAAUGCUUCCUUUUGAAAACAGUUUUGAUGUCCGUUUUCCAGACAGGCCUUUCACACCAGUAUGUCCAUCCUGCCUGCUGCCCAGCCACGGCCAGGUCUCUCUCACGAAGCAUUGCCACCAUGAGACCAUUCAGGGCAGGGCAGCACACAGCAACCAUGCAGCCCAGUCUCCAAUAUUAUGGGCAGCACAGCCCAGCCUGUCUGUUCAAGCUGUUUCAUUCUGUCUGCAGCCGAAAAUCAAAUAACCUGAAAUACAGCCUUUACGGUGAGCCACUGUGGUCCAGGCCCUGCCAAGCUCCACCCUGCACCAAGCACACAUCCACCUUUUGGAGUGAAAUGCCCCACACAAGGCAUCCAGAAGGGACAUCCCCAAGAGAUGACACUGCUGCUGGCCCCACCAUUUCCGCAUGGGCCCAGGUCUGCCAGUGAGGACGAGCCCCUGAUGCCACACGGGAACAGAAUGGCUGCUGCAGGGGUCUGGAGGAAAGGGGACGAGCGUCUGCACUGCUGCUGGCAGCUGCUGGAACACAGGAUGGAUCAGAAAAACGCCAGCCUGAGCACCGCACCAGUGAGCACUCGCGCUCCCCAUCCGGACAGCAGCAGCCCCAGUCGCAACCCUGUGCCCCGGGACCUGCCCCAGCUCACGGCCCACCUGUAAUGGCGGCUCCAGUUGCAGCGGGCGCACCAAGGCGAGAGCCGUGUUCAAACACUCGCUUCCUCCUCUGCACACAAAAAUCAAAUCAUCCUGCAGUUGCUCGUCAUGUGGCUUUGCUUUAUGUGGAUUCCUGAUUUAGUGGCAGAUCUGGUCCAGGAACUGAGGCGUUCCUGGCUCCCCAUCCGGGGCUCAAAUCUCCGAUCUGAAUCCAAUCUCCCUUCCGCCAUCAGCCUGAAAUUGUUUGCUAUAGGAUAUGUUGA
ensembl:lncRNA